rnacentral:sRNA from 1 species
UUCCCUCCUUUCUACAACAUGUAAGUGUGCAAGAUUAAUCGUUGCCAAAAUCACAAAGAUACAAUAUAAUAUAGACAUGAUGUUGCUAUAGUGAACUACAGAUUCUAUUAUAAACCUGCUAACAUUGUAUUCGUUCUUUAUAUAUCUGGUUUUCUUGGAAUUAAAUUUAAUUUAGGAUCUUUAUUAGUUUAUGGGAUAAUUUUAUUUCUUUUACUUUUAAGUUCUAAUAUUCUUGGGGAUAAGCUCAGGGUUAAUUAUAUAAGUUUUAGAUUUUGUUGGGAAUUUUGUAGGCUUGAAAUCAGCCAUCAGUUAUUUCGUUAUAGAUUAUUUUCUUUUAUGAUUUAUUUAUUUGGCUUUAUUUGUUUACUUGAAUGAUUGAUUUAAUUUGUGAUUUAUUGUAAUAAUGAUUGAAUUAGUAUCUUAGUUAAUUAAGUCAUAGGAACUCGGCAAGUUCAAUGCCCGCCUGUUUAACAAAAACAUGUCCUUUU